rnacentral:rRNA from 1 species
UACGUAGGGGGCGAGCGUUGUCCGGAUUUAUUGGGCGUAAAGAGCUCGUAGACGGUUUGGUAAGUCGGGUGUGAAAUCUCCACGCUCAACGUGGAGGGGCCACUCGAUACUGCCAUGACUCGAGUCCCGGAGAGGAAGGUGGAAUUCCUGGUGUAGCGGUGAAAUGCGUAGAUAUCAGGAGGAAUACCGGUGGCGAAGGCGGCCUUCUGGACGGUGACUGACGCUGAGACGCGAAAGCGUGGGGAGCAAACAGG